rnacentral:rRNA from 1 species
UACGUAGGGACCGAGCGUUGUCCGGAAUCAUUGGGCGUAAAGAGCGUGUAGGCGGCUAUUUAAGUCCUGCGUGAAAUCCUGCGGCUCAACCGCAGACGGUCGUGGGAAACUGGAUGGCUAGAGUGCGGGAGAGGAGAGUGGAAUUCCCGGUGUAGCGGUGAAAUGCGCAGAUAUCGGGAAGAACGCCCGUGGCGAAGGCGGCUCUCUGGAACGCAACUGACGCUGAGACGCGAAAGCGUGGGGAGCAAACAGG